GUCGACCCCCCGCGUGGCGCUCACCCUGUGAACCUCCCCAGGGCCGGAAGGCAGCAAGGAUAAGCAGGCUCUGGCGGGUGCGCGGGGGGUCCCUCCA
rnacentral:SRP_RNA from 1 species